rnacentral:rRNA from 1 species
GUUGUAUGGUUAAGUGACUAAGCGUACACGGUGGAUGCCUGGGCAGUCAGAGGCGAUGAAGGACGUACUAACUUGCGAUAAGCGCAGAUAAGGCAGUAAGAGCCGUUUGAGUCUGCGAUUUCCGAAUGGGGAAACCCAACUGCAUAAGCAGUUACUGUUAACUGAAUACAUAGGUUAACAGAGCAAACCGGGGGAACUGAAACAUCUAAGUACCCCGAGGAGAAGAAAUCAACCGAGAUUCCGGUAGUAGCGGCGAGCGAACCUGGAUUAGCCCUUAAGCACUCGGUGAAGUAGGUGAACAAGCUGGAAAGCUUGGCGAUACAGGGUGAUAGCCCCGUAACCGACGCUUCAUCGAGCGUGAAAUCGAGUAGGGCGGGACACGUGAUAUCCUGUCUGAAUAUGGGGGGACCAUCCUCCAAGGCUAAAUACUCCUGACUGACCGAUAGUGAACCAGUACCGUGAGGGAAAGGCGAAAAGAACCCCUGUGAGGGGAGUGAAAUAGAACCUGAAACCGUGUACGUACAAGCAGUAGGAGCACCUUCGUGGUGUGACUGCGUACCUUUUGUAUAAUGGGUCAGCGACUUAUAUUCAGUGGCAAGGUUAACCGUAUAGGGGAGCCGUAGCGAAAGCGAGUCUUAACUGGGCGCUCAGUCUCUGGAUAUAGACCCGAAACCGGGUGAUCUAGCCAUGGGCAGGUUGAAGGUUGAGUAACAUCAACUGGAGGACCGAACCGACUAAUGUUGAAAAAUUAGCGGAUGACUUGUGGCUAGGGGUGAAAGGCCAAUCAAACUCGGAGAUAGCUGGUUCUCCCCGAAAGCUAUUUAGGUAGCGCCUCGGACGAAUACUACUGGGGGUAGAGCACUGUUAAGGCUAGGGGGUCAUCCCGACUUACCAACCCUUUGCAAACUCCGAAUACCAGUAAGUACUAUCCGGGAGACACACGGCGGGUGCUAACGUCCGUCGUGGAGAGGGAAACAACCCAGACCGCCAGCUAAGGUCCCAAAGUAUUGCUAAGUGGGAAACGAUGUGGGAAGGCUCAGACAGCUAGGAUGUUGGCUUAGAAGCAGCCAUCAUUUAAAGAAAGCGUAAUAGCUCACUAGUCGAGUCGGCCUGCGCGGAAGAUGUAACGGGGCUAAGCAAUACACCGAAGCUGCGGCAAUAUCUUUUAGAUAUUGGGUAGGGGAGCGUUCUGUAAGCCGUUGAAGGUGAAUCGUAAGGUUUGCUGGAGGUAUCAGAAGUGCGAAUGCUGACAUGAGUAACGACAAGGGGGGUGAAAAACCUCCCCGCCGGAAGACCAAGGGUUCCUGUCCAACGUUAAUCGGGGCAGGGUGAGUCGACCCCUAAGGUGAGGCCGAAAGGCGUAAUCGAUGGGAAACGGGUUAAUAUUCCCGUACUUCUGACUAUUGCGAUGGGGGGGACGGAGAAGGCUAGGUGGGCCAGGCGACGGUUGUCCUGGUUCAAGUGCGUAGGCUUGAGAGUUAGGUAAAUCCGGCUCUCUUUAAGGCUGAGACACGACGUCGAGCUGCUACGGCAGUGAAGUCAUUGAUGCCAUGCUUCCAGGAAAAGCCUCUAAGCUUCAGAUAGUCAGGAAUCGUACCCCAAACCGACACAGGUGGUCGGGUAGAGAAUACCAAGGCGCUUGAGAGAACUCGGGUGAAGGAACUAGGCAAAAUGGUACCGUAACUUCGGGAGAAGGUACGCUCUUGAUGGUGAAGUCCCUCGCGGAUGGAGCUGACGAGAGUCGCAGAUACCAGGUGGCUGCAACUGUUUAUUAAAAACACAGCACUGUGCAAAAUCGCAAGAUGACGUAUACGGUGUGACGCCUGCCCGGUGCCGGAAGGUUAAUUGAUGGGGUUAGCGUAAGCGAAGCUCUUGAUCGAAGCCCCGGUAAACGGCGGCCGUAACUAUAACGGUCCUAAGGUAGCGAAAUUCCUUGUCGGGUAAGUUCCGACCUGCACGAAUGGCGUAAUGAUGGCCACGCUGUCUCCACCCGAGACUCAGUGAAAUUGAAAUCGCUGUGAAGAUGCAGUGUACCCGCGGCUAGACGGAAAGACCCCGUGAACCUUUACUACAGCUUGGCACUGAACAUUGAACCUACAUGUGUAGGAUAGGUGGGAGGCUAUGAAGACGUGACGCUAGUUGCGUUGGAGCCGUCCUUGAAAUACCACCCUUGUAUGUUUGAUGUUCUAACUUAGACCCAUUAUCUGGGUUGAGGACAGUGCCUGGUGGGUAGUUUGACUGGGGCGGUCUCCUCCCAAAGAGUAACGGAGGAGCACGAAGGUGGGCUAAUCACGGUUGGACAUCGUGAGGUUAGUGCAAUGGCAUAAGCCCGCUUAACUGCGAGAAUGACGGUUCGAGCAGGUGCGAAAGCAGGUCAUAGUGAUCCGGUGGUUCUGUAUGGAAGGGCCAUCGCUCAACGGAUAAAAGGUACUCCGGGGAUAACAGGCUGAUACCGCCCAAGAGUUCAUAUCGACGGCGGUGUUUGGCACCUCGAUGUCGGCUCAUCACAUCCUGGGGCUGAAGUCGGUCCCAAGGGUAUGGCUGUUCGCCAUUUAAAGUGGUACGCGAGCUGGGUUUAGAACGUCGUGAGACAGUUCGGUCCCUAUCUGCCGUGGGCGUUGGAAGAUUGAAGGGGGCUGCUCCUAGUACGAGAGGACCGGAGUGGACGAACCUCUGGUGUUCGGGUUGUGUCGCCAGACGCAUUGCCCGGUAGCUAAGUUCGGAAUUGAUAAGCGCUGAAAGCAUCUAAGCGCGAAGCGAGCCCUGAGAUGAGUCUUCCCUGACGGUUUAACUGUCCUAAAGGGUUGUUCGAGACUAGAACGUUGAUAGGCAGGGUGUGUAAGCGUUGUGAGGCGUUGAGCUAACCUGUACUAAUUGCCCGUGAGGCUUAACCAUACAACACCCAAGGGGUUUUGUA